UACGUAGGGAGCGAGCGUUGUCCGGAAUUACUGGGUUUAAAGGGUGCGUAGGCGGUUUGAUAAGUUAGAGGUGAAAUGUCGGGGCUCAACCCCGAAACUGCCUCUAAUACUGUUGGACUAGAGAAUAGUUGCGGUAGGCGGAAUGUAUGGUGUAGCGGUGAAAUGCUUAGAGAUCAUACAGAACACCGAUUGCGAAGGCAGCUUACCAAACUAUAUCUGACGUUGAGGCACGAAAGCGUGGGUAGCAAACAGG
rnacentral:rRNA from 1 species